rnacentral:rRNA from 1 species
CAGUCACCGCGGUAACACGAACCGUGCGAACGUUAUUCGGAAUUACUGGGCUUAAAGCGCGUGUAGGCGGGCCGGCACGUCGGUCGCUGAAAUCCCCCGGCUCAACCAGGGAAGUGGCGCCGAUACGGCCGGCCUGGAGGGGGGUAGGGGGGCCUGGAACUUUCGGUGGAGCGGUGAAAUGCGUUGAGAUCGGAAGGAACGCCCGUGGCGAAAGCGAGGCCCUGGACCCUUUCUGACGCUGAGACGCGAAAGCCAGGGGAGCGAACGGGAUUAGAUACCCCAGUAGUCCCUGUCUCUUAUA